AUUGAACGCUGGCGGCAGGCUUAACACAUGCAAGUCGAGCGGGGGCUUCGGUCCUAGCGGCGAACGGGUGAGGAAUGCUUGGGAAUCUGCCCAGUAGUGGGGGAUAACGUUUCGAAAGGAACGCUAAUACCGCAUACGUCCUACGGGAGAAAGGGGGGGAUCUUCGGACCUCUCGCUAUUGGAUGAGCCCAAGUCGGAGUAGCUAGUUGGUGAGGUAAAGGCUCACCAAGGCGACGAUCCGUAGCUGGUCUGAGAGGAUGAUCAGCCACACUGGAACUGAGACACGGUCCAGACUCCUACGGGAGGCAGCAGUGGGGAAUAUUGGACAAUGGGCGAAAGCCUGAUCCAGCCAUGCCGCGUGUGUGAAGAAGGCCUUCGGGUUGUAAAGCACUUUAAGCGAGGAGGAAUGGCUCUUGGUUAAUAACCUUGAGCAGUGACGUUACUCGCAGAAUAAGCACCGGCUAACUCUGUGCCAGCCGCCGCGGUAACAC
rnacentral:rRNA from 1 species